GUUCUUUAUCAGGCUCACGGUUUCUCAUAAUUCUUUAUCAAUACCUCCUGUGGUUGCCCCUGAUGGCACAUCUACUUGAGAAUACCUCUGAAGACGAUGUUCCCUGUUAAGGAAGAACAUGACCAAACUGUCGUGCGUGCAGAAGUGUCUACACGGAGCUGUAAAACGUAGAGACGCGCAGCCAGCAAGUACCUGGAA